rnacentral:piRNA from 1 species
UAUCCAGAAGAGAAAAUGGGUAUCAGGGAUC